CUGACUGUGGCAGGGGACACUCUCCUGCUGGCUCUCUCUGUCCACACUUAGCUGGCUCCUGUCCUCAGGUGCACGGCCACACCCUUGCACCCAACCUUGAUCCUCUGAUGGGGAAGGUCCCAGGACUUGUCUGCUGGGACAGGCCUCACCCCCAAGAGCUCUGGGCAGUACUGAGAAGAUUGGCUGCCUCAGUAAACCCAGGAGAGCCAUGGUGAGUGACCACAGUAGCUUUCUCUUCCAAAUGACAACUAUCUCAUCUCUUCAGACUAAAUUAACUCCACCCACAGUCAGAAGAAAACUCACAAAAUGGUGGUCAGGAAGACUGAUCUCUAGAACAUUCACGGGACGACAGGAUGAGAGGGAAAAAGGUGUGACAGAGAGGCAGUUACAAUUUGAAGCAACUGUGCGUCGCCGACUUUAUCCAUAAAGAAUUCCAGCCUGCCUCACAGUUUUCAAGACCACACACUUGGAGGCGGAGCGCAUACCAAGCAGAUCGCUGCCUCUUAGAGUAACGCAAGAGGAAGAUAAAGGACGCUCAGACUCAGCGCACAUCCGGUCAAGCCUGACCCAAACGCUUCCUCUUCGCAGACAGACUUUCAGAUCCUUCUUGCAGAGUCCCAACCCUGAGCAGAGGACAUCGGCACCUCAGUGGCUGUUGCUCUUCAUUUUAAUGGGGGAUUGCAGAGGCAAAGCUAGACUAGGUCUUGGAGGCUGGUGUAAGGCGGUGCGCGGAAGGCAGGACGCUGAUGGGAGAGACUGGUCG
rnacentral:lncRNA from 1 species